rnacentral:rRNA from 1 species
UACGUAGGGUGCGAGCGUUAAUCGGAAUUACUGGGCGUAAAGCGUGCGCAGGCGGCUCUUUAAGCUUGCUGUGAAAGCCCCGGGCUUAACCUGGGAACUGCAGUGAGGACUGGAUGGCUGGAGUGUGGCAGAGGGGGGUGGAAUUCCACGUGUAGCAGUGAAAUGCGUAGAGAUGUGGAGGAACACCGAUGGCGAAGGCAGCCCCCUGGGCUAACACUGACGCUCAGGCACGAAAGCGUGGGGAGCAAACAGG